rnacentral:misc_RNA from 1 species
UUUCCGUAGGUGAACCUGCGGAAGGAUCAUUGUCGAACCCUGCCCAGCAGAACGACCCGCGAACUCGUAUAAACAACCGGGGGCGGGGGGCGUUCUCGCCCCGUGCCCCCGAACGGCGGGGAGACACUCGUGCCUUCUUGCCGAACAACGAACCCCGGCGCGGUCUGCGCCAAGGAACUUCAACUAAAGAGUGCCUCCGGUCGCCUCGGAAACGGCGUGCGUGCCGGGGGCGAAUCUUGUGCAAAACCAUAACGACUCUCGGCAACGGAUAUCUCGGCUCUC